rnacentral:rRNA from 1 species
GAUGAACGCUGGCGGCGUGCUUAACACAUGCAAGUCGAACGAAGCACUUUUACAGAUUUCUUCGGAAUGAAGUUUUAGUGACUGAGUGGCGGACGGGUGAGUAACGCGUGGGUAACCUGCCUCACACAGGGGGAUAACAGUUGGAAACGGCUGCUAAUACCGCAUAAGCGCACAGUACCGCAUGGUACAGUGUGAAAAACUCCGGUGGUGUGAGAUGGACCCGCGUCUGAUUAGCUAGUUGGCAGGGCAACGGCCUACCAAGGCGACGAUCAGUAGCCGACCUGAGAGGGUGACCGGCCACAUUGGGACUGAGACACGGCCCAAACUCCUACGGGAGGCAGCAGUGGGGAAUAUUGCACAAUGGGGGAAACCCUGAUGCAGCGACGCCGCGUGAGCGAAGAAGUAUUUCGGUAUGUAAGGCUCUAUCAGCAGGGAAGAAGAAAUGACGGUACCUGACUAAGAAGCACCGGCUAAAUACGUGCCAGCAGCCGCCGCUG